GUUUCGAGUUGGAACAGGUGGGUUUUAUGAGCCUUCGGCUUUUGCUUCCCUUUAGGCAGCAGGUGAUGUGGGCGAGAUGCCAAAAGCUAGCUAAUAAGUCAAAAUAGAAGAAAGGAGAUAAAUGCAUCAAACUGAUUUUUGUCUAUAAAAGCAUCUUUUGAGAGAGAGAGAGAGAGAGAGAGAGAGAGAGCUGCAGUUGGGUUUUUCAGCAGUUACCGAGGAAGAAAGAGGCAAAAGUCCGGUUCAAUUUCAGGUUUUGAUGGAGAAAGUUGUGAAUUCAUAACGAAGGUAUUGACGCGCCUCAAUUUGAACGCGUGGCUAAUAUCGGAGACUUAACCAUGCGAUUUUGAUUGAGCCGCGUCAAUAUCUCCUCUUGCAUCUCUCUCCAUCUAUCCUUUAAACUCAACAUCAUAUAUUCAUGGUAUGUUGUUGAUCUAAAUUAUCCCCCUUCCUUCUUUGAUUCCUAGUCCCAUCUGUUUCUCUCUGGGUUUUAUUAGAAACCUUUGAAUGAUUUAAGCGCUAAUUUUUCUUUUAAUUGUUGCUAUAUAUAUUCUUUAAUUUGCAUGCUUCCUAUUAGAUCCAUAUACUUUCUCUGUAUAUGCAAUCAAUUAGGCAAAGAAAAUUGAAAUGAUUAUAAUAUACAAGCAUAUAUAAUCAGCUCAUCCCCGCUCGCUAGGGUUUGCUCCUGAUUGAUACCAUAUGUGAGAGAGAGAGAGAGAGAGAGAGAGAGAGAGAGAGAUAAUUAUUUGGAAAUUGUAAGGGUGAUGAAAAAAGCAUGAUGAUGUAGGUGAUUGUCAUUCAAGAGAGUAGGUAGAAAAUUAAGGGCAGAUGCUCAGGUCGGGCCAUGCCCUUCUCUCCCACCAUAUCAUUGAAUAUUAAAUUAUCUUACGAAAUUUUGAAAGAUCCAUCCAAUCUUUUCAAAACUCAAAAACAAAUAAAAGAAGAAAGCACGUUCAUAGUUUAAUGCAAAUGAGAUUUUCAAAUUAGUAGCUUAUGCAUAUGUUAAAUAAAAUAAAUCUGGCAGGAACCUUUUAAUUAUUAAAAAAUACAAUGUCAUGGUCUAAAUGUUCCAAUUGUGUUGUGAGUACCGCAUUACACUAAAGCAGGAGCAAUGCUUCAAAAUUGUAUAAUUUUUUAAGAUCGUGUAAUCAACUCAUCAUACAAGCAUGAUCACUGUGCUUAGUUUUGUAUAUUAUCCAACACACACACGCAUAUAUGUAACCAAUGUUUCAAAAUUGUAGAAAUAUUUAAUUUGGGAAAAUUGACUAGUUAGCCACUUGGCUUAUUUUUAAGCAUGUUUGUUAGAGCUUUUGAUAUUUUGUCUUAAUGUUUUCUAGUGAGAUAAGGAUUAUGGUCCUUUCAUAUUUUCUGUUUUGAUUAGAUUGCUUUCCUGUUUAUUUCUGAAUUAUGGGCAUGCUCACUUAAAAGAAAUGAGACAAGGAAGGAACGGGAGAACUUAAAAAUAGGGGAAGUAAGAAAAGAGAAUCAAAUCAACUAUGAGUAAUUAAUUUUUAGGUAUUUGAUUACGGAUUUUAAGAGAAAACAGACAUUUUUUUUCUGAUUCACAUGUGUUAGUAAACACAUGAAAUUAAAGUUAAGAAGUUAAAUGAUUCUCAUACUUAUUUUUCAGUAAACGCUAGAAACUAAAGAACCAAAAUAGAUUCAAUUCCUAUCCUUGUAACUAAAAAUGCACGAGGUGUUUAUAUCAUGUUGUAACUCAAUAGAAUUAAGUUUGAUAAGAGUACUCUUGUCACGUUAUGUAGUCGAUUUGGAAUAACAUUAUGAGUUCGUAAUCAGUUUGUUCUUUUUCUAAUUCUUUGAUUUUCUGUUGCUUUCUGUAGCAUGUUCAAACCUAUUGUGCAGGACCAGCAUGUAUAAAGUGUACCAAACUUUGGCUGUUACCAUUGACUCGAACACAUAAGAUAGAACAGUUCACACUUGUAUAUACCUUGAGUUCUAAACCAAUUUCGUUUUCACUAGAGGAAUAUAACUGAUCUAAAUUUCAAAUGAAAUUACAGAAAAAUCUAAAAACGUUAAAAGUGAAAGAGACUUGGGGAGAGAGAAAACAGACAUAUGCAUGCAGGUCUGUCAAUGAAAGAAUUGUUUUAAUUCGAUAAGGUCCAAAGGCUUCAGGAAUCUCAGAUCCAGAACCUAGCUGGUGAAGUGGGAACCAUAACUGCAAUAAGGUUUCUCCAACGGCUGGUCUAAGGAAUCAAUGUGUGCAGUGUUGUAUACUCGUGGAGAUAUAUCAUCGAAGGAACAAGCAAAUCUCUCACAAAACGUCCAAUCGAGUCGUCAUAUGUGUGGUUUAUGGAAAGAAACUUUCAUGUAUCCGAUCAUAUAUGUCUCCUUGUUUAUAUAACAUUUAUCAAAAAAAAAAAAAAAAAAAAAAGAAAGAGUGUGUUGUGAUUUACUUGUUUGUAUAUGUAUGAUCUUUAUUUGAAGUAAUGAAUGAAAGAAAGAGUGUACAUAUGAGUUUUCUCAAUUUGUUACCAGACAAAUUGGUUGGAAAACCUAACCUUUUUAUUUACUUGUUUAUAAUAUUUUGAGAAAUUAUUGUCUGUUGAGUUUUCGUGCUUUUACUAUGAUCACAUCACAUGUGUACGUGUAAUAAAAUGUGUUGGAGGCUAAUUUCAUGUUUAUGGAAGGACUAAUGUACUUUCGUUGUUUCU